rnacentral:lncRNA from 1 species
CAAGUGAUACCUCAAGCCUACUUGUCUAUUUUUCUCUCCACAACUUCUCUUCCAAGUUAAACACACCCCGAAAGUUUGCAGACUUUUUGAAUAGGUUUGUGAUCCCCUUCUCAAGCUUUAAGAGUAUGAAUAAUUUUAAUAGAUUUGUGAUCCCCUACUUAAGCUUUAAGAGAGCUUACUUAUAUUAAGUCGAGGGUCACAAAUCUAUUCAAUAUAUCCGUCUGCGUUUUUCCAUAUGCAACAACGUUUUUUUGCUUGAAUAGGGAGGCUGGCAUAGCAAUCUUUGUCAGGCUGUGUCUUUGGCCUCCCGCACUUCUCAAGUUACUUUAGGAGUUCUGGUGCAGUAGUGCUUGUGGUCAAUAAUUGCUUGUGUUGCUCCUGUAGGCUGUCAUAGGGUGGUCAAGACUGCUGUUGGUGGCUGUUUGGAGGAAGGUUCGAGUGUAGUGUUUUGAUCAUGAAAUAAUUGGAGCUUGUUUUGGGAGUUCUUUUAAUAGUUUUUGUUUCUGCAAUGGUGGCUUAGAGGUUUAAUGGCAGGUCACUUGGCCCAUUUACUCUAGAUUUAAUUCUAGUUUUAAGUUUGUUUCUGGUGGCCUGUGCUAUUGUAUUGGUUUUGAAUGCUACUGGUUGUAUUGGCAUGUCUUAUGCCGUUUUUCCUUAAGCUCAAUAAAUUCUUUAGCCUUUUUCAAUUUAUAUA